AUACUCACCUGUCAGGGGGAGACUGUGGCCAAAAAGGUGAUAUUCCCAGGGCAAUGCUCAUUUUGGGAUGUACUGACCCUUGUAAUUUCUCCAAGCUUGGGAAGCUUGACUGUUUCAUAUAUGGUAAUGAUGUCAUAUUUCCAUGCAUAUUG
rnacentral:snRNA from 1 species